rnacentral:rRNA from 1 species
GAUGAACGCUGGCGGCGUGCCUAAUACAUGCAAGUCGAGCGAACAGACGAGGAGCUUGCUCCUCUGACGUUAGCGGCGGACGGGUGAGUAACACGUGGAUAACCUACCUAUAAGACUGGGAUAACUUCGGGAAACCGGAGCUAAUACCGGAUAAUAUAUUGAACCGCAUGGUUCAAUAGUGAAAGACGGUUUUGCUGUCACUUAUAGAUGGAUCCGCGCCGCAUUAGCUAGUUGGUAAGGUAACGGCUUACCAAGGCAACGAUGCGUAGCCGACCUGAGAGGGUGAUCGGCCACACUGGAACUGAGACACGGUCCAGACUCCUACGGGAGGCAGCAGUAGGGAAUCUUCCGCAAUGGGCGAAAGCCUGACGGAGCAACGCCGCGUGAGUGAGGAAGGUCUUCGGAUCGUAAAACUCUGUUAUUAGGGAAGAACAAAUGUGUAAGUAACUAUGCACGUCUUGACGGUACCUAAUCAGAAAGCCACGGCUAACUACGUGC